UACGGAGGGGGCUAGCGUUGUUCGGAAUUACUGGGCGUAAAGCGCACGUAGGCGGCUUUGUAAGUUAGAGGUGAAAGCCCGGAGCUCAACUCCGGAAUUGCCUUUAAGACUGCAUCGCUAGAACGUCGGAGAGGUGAGUGGAAUUCCGAGUGUAGAGGUGAAAUUCGUAGAUAUUCGGAAGAACACCAGUGGCGAAGGCGACUCACUGGACGACUGUUGACGCUGAGGUGCGAAAAGCGUGGGGAGCAAACAGG
rnacentral:rRNA from 1 species